GCCCAGACUCCUACGGGAGGCAGCAGUGAGGAAUAUUGGUCAAUGGGCUAAGGCCUGAACCAGCCAAGUCGCGUGAGGGAAGACGGUCCUAUGGAUUGUAAACCUCUUUUGUCGGGGAGCAACGAGGCCACGUGUGGCCGAAGUGAGAGUACCCGAAGAAAAAGCAUCGGCUAACUCCGUGCCAGCAGCCGCGGUAAUACGGAGGAUGCGAGCGUUAUCCGGAUUUAUUGGGUUUAAAGGGUGCGUAGGCGGAACAUUAAGUCAGCGGUAAAAUCGCGGGGCUCAACCUCGCUCCGCCGUUGAAACUGGCGUUCUUGAGUGGGCGAGAAGUAUGCGGAAUGCGUGGUGUAGCGGUGAAAUGCAUAGAUAUCACGCAGAACUCCGAUUGCGAAGGCAGCGCACCGGCGCCCUACUGACGCUCAGGCACGAAAGCGUGGGUAUCGAACAGGAUUAGAUACCCCUGUAC
rnacentral:rRNA from 1 species